rnacentral:tRNA from 1 species
AGAAAGGUAAGCUAAGCAUACAAAGCUAAUGGGCUCAUACCCCACUAAUAGGGGUGUAACCUCUCUUUUCUA